rnacentral:rRNA from 1 species
GUAUACCUACGGGACGCAGCAGUGGGGAAUAUUGCACAAUGGGGGAAACCCUGAUGCAGCGACGCCGCGUGGGUGAAGGAGCGUUUCGGCGCGUAAAGCCCUCUCGGCAGGGAAGAAGAUGACGGUACCUGACCAAGAAGCCCCGGCUAACUACGUGCCAGCAGCCGUGGUAAUACGUAGGGGGCAAGCGUUAUCCGGAUUUACUGGGUGUAAAGGGGGCGCAGACGGCAAUGCAAGCCAGGAGUGAAAACCCGGGGCCCAACCCCGGGACUGCUCUUGGAACUGCAUGGCUGGAGUACAGGAGG